UACGGAGGGGGCUAGCGUUGUUCGGAAUUACUGGGCGUAAAGCGCACGUAGGCGGCUUUGUAAGUUAGAGGUGAAAGCCCGGGGCUCAACCCCGGAAUUGCCUUUAAGACUGCAUCGCUUGAAUUGUGGAGAGGUAAGUGGAAUUCCGAGUGUAGAGGUGAAAUUCGUAGAUAUUCGGAAGAACACCAGUGGCGAAGGCGACUUACUGGACACAUAUUGACGCUGAGGUGGCGAAAAGCGUGGGGAGCAAACACGG
rnacentral:rRNA from 1 species